GAUUGAGACUGCAGACACUACAGCCUUGCUUGAGCUUUCUGAAAGAAUCGUAGCAUGUGGUACACAGGAUCCUAACAUGUGAUGAAAGGAAGACAUUGUCAGGAGCGAGGACUUUGACAGAACGGGGCUGAAUGUCCAGAUUAAAGAUGCUGUUGUGCCAAACAUUUUUAACUUUCCAGCUCAUCUUCAAAGGGUCUGUGUAUCACUGACCAACAAUAAUUCAAGGUGGCUGGAAUAACAACCCUAAUGUCGUCCAGUUAAAGUAGAUCUUUAGGAAGCUGAUGUUAAACAGAGGCAAUGUGACGGCGCAGGAUGAGUCCCUACCAUCUGUCCUCAACACCUCUUCAAACCUGUCAGAUAUGAGGAGAAGAUCUUCCAUCCACGUUUGCUGACAUUCCUGUUCUAGUACAUGACCACAGCUACCUUCCCGUCUGCUUCGAUGGUCUUGUGGACAACAGUCUCUUGUACAUUUCAAGAUGUACAAUUAUACAAGUCUUACAUAAUUAUGGACUGAAAUUCAACAUGGUUGUAUAUUUAAGACAUGAAUAUUUCAAUUAAAAACAUUUCAAACUGAUUUUCAUAACCAAAAAUUCAAGAAUUCAUAUUCAACUUUCAGAUUUCACUUCCAAAAUAUUCGAUCUAUUUAAAAAUACAACCUAUAAUAUUCAACAGGCAAGUUUCAGUCCAUUUUAUUUCGCUUUACAAAUUCGCUUCCACAAAUUCAGUGGUUCAAAUUUGACAGUAAAUUCACCGUUUCACAUCCGGGAACAACAGGAAAAUCAGUAGAUUACCGAUCACAAUCUCAUCUGCUGUAAAUCGUCUUCACCGGCAGGGGGUGCAAGCGCUACUUUGUCUUAACAAGCAUCAACGAAACCGUCACGAGAGGCCUUCAUAAAACAUCAUUUGACGAAAUGGACCGAGCGCAUUUGCUUUUGGAUUAUGUUUUGGAAAGACUCCGUUCACGCUUGGAAAAUGCUGUUGGACGCCUACCCCUUGACAUGGACUACCUGGAGUUUAUCUGCUCUCAAGAAUUAGUCUUUUUAAGUGCUUUGACCAAUUUAGUUACCAUCCCAGCUGAUAUUUUCGAGGGCAUCACAGAACUGUCAGACUAGUUCGACUAAACCUGUCAGACGGGGAGACGCGCACUUCGACUAUUCUGCAGGAGUCAGGGUCGAUGGGACGACCACGUCUUCUAAUCUCACCAGACUACAUCACCAAUCUCCUGGACAUGAACUUUUCUGUUCCAACCAUUGCUUGCAUGCUUGGAGUAAGUGCACGCGCAGUUUUCAGACGAAUGGCUGAAUGUAACCUCUCCAUUCGGGCGCGAUAUAGCACUCUCACGGACGAAGAGUUAGAUGAUUGUGUGACAGAUGUAAAGCAACACAUGCCUCAGUGUGGAUACAGAAUGAUGAGAGCAGCUGUAAAGGACACCAAGAGCAGUUCGACCGGGUCAGGGCAGAUACAGUGGGAGUCAUGUCCUGAAGGGCACAGUUGGGCUGCGUGGUACGAAGGACACAUUCAGUGUCAGGUCCUAGGUCAAUAAUGCACAUUGACACCAACUAUAAACGGAUUCGCUACAAUAUAGUCAUCUUUGGGGUGUGGAUGGCUUUUCACGCAAGAUAAUGUACCUUGGAGCUUCAUCUAAUAACCUUGCUAAAACCACCUUGGAUAUUUUUCAAGAAGCAGCGAAGACAUUUGGCUU